AUCCGUAGGAAAAAUAUUUGUUUCCGGAGCUCAAGGAACAUGUAGAAAUGUGAUUGCUAGUUUUUAUGGUUUAUUAAAAUUUAUAAAAAGGAAAUGUGAUUACAAGUUUGUAGUGUACUAUUCAUUAUUUUCUCACAUUAAUAUCAAUAGAAAGAGCAUUCGUACUUGUUUAUGUGUAUUUGUAGGAAAAAUAUUUGUUUCCAAAGCUCAAGGAACAUAGAGAAAUGUGAUUGUUAGUUUUUAUGGUUUAUUGAAAUUUAUAAAUAAUUAGGAGUAAAUUUAUUUGUCGGUUUUUUUUCUAAGUGGUGAACAAUUGAAUCAGAAAUACUACGGACAAGGGGAAUUUGACUAUUUAAUUAAAACAAAGCAUUGUAAUAAUCCCUGUAGAUGCUGAUGCAAUGUGAACGAGAUUCCCAUUGUCCCUAUCUAGCGAAACCAAAGCCAAGGAAACGGGCUUGG
rnacentral:ncRNA from 1 species